CCUACGGGAGGCUGCAGUGGGGAAUAUUGGACAAUGGGCGAAAGCCUGAUCCAGCCAUGCCGCGUGUGUGAAGAAGGCCUUCGGGUUGUAAAGCACUUUCAGUGGGGAAGAAAGCCUUGGGGCUAAUACCCUCGAGGAAGGACAUCACCCACAGAAGAAGCACCGGCUAACUCCGUGCCAGCAGCCGCGGUAUACGGAGGGUGCGAGCGUUAAUCGGAAUUACUGGGCGUAAAGCGCGCGUAGGCGGUCUGAUAAGCCGGUUGUGAAAGCCCCGGGCUCAACCUGGGAACGGCAUCCGGAACUGUCAGGCUAGAGUGCAGGAGAGGAAGGUAGAAUUCCCGGUGUAGCGGUGAAAUGCGUAGAGAUCGGGAGGAAUACCAGUGGCGAAGGCGGCCUUCUGGACUGACACUGACGCUGAGGUGCGAAAGCGUGGGUAGCAAACAGGAUUAGAUACCCUUGUAGUC
rnacentral:rRNA from 1 species